AUUGAACGCUGGAGGCAGGCCUAACACAUGCAAGUCGAACGAGUGGCGGACGGGUGAGUAAUGGAUGGGAAACUGCCUGAUGGAGGGGGAUAACUACUGGAAACGGUAGCUAAUACAGCAUACCAUCAGAUGGGCCCAGAGGGGAUGAGCUAGUUGGUGGGGUAACGGUUCACCAAGGCGCCGAUCCCUAGAUGGUCUGAGAGGAUGACCAGCCACACUGGAACUGAGACACGGUCCAGACUCCUAUGAGAGUCAGCAGUGGGGAAUAUUGCACAAUGGGCGCAAUCCUGAUGCAGCCCUGCCGAGUGUAUGAAGAAGGCCUUCGGGUUGUAAAGUACUUUCAGCGGGGAGGCGUUACCCGCAGAAGAAGCACCGGCUAACUCCGUGCCAGCAGCCGCGGUAAUUC
rnacentral:rRNA from 1 species